AUUGAACGCUGGCGGCAUGCCUUACACAUGCAAGUCGAACGGUAACAGGUCUUCGGAUGCUGACGAGUGGCGAACGGGUGAGUAAUACAUCGGAACGUGCCUAGUAGUGGGGGAUAACUACUCGAAAGAGUGGCUAAUACCGCAUGAGAUCUACGGAUGAAAGCAGGGGAUCGCAAGACCUUGUGCUACUAGAGCGGCCGAUGGCAGAUUAGGUAGUUGGUGGGAUAAAAGCUUACCAAGCCGACGAUCUGUAGCUGGUCUGAGAGGACGAUCAGCCACACUGGGACUGAGACACGGCCCAGACUCCUACGGGAGGCAGCAGUGGGGAAUUUUGGACAAUGGGCGCAAGCCUGAUCCUGCAAUGCCGCGUGCAGGAUGAAGGCCUUCGGGUUGUAGACUGCUUUUGUACGGAACGAAAAGCCCCGGGUUAAUACCCUGGGGUCAUGACGGUACCGUAAGAAUAAGCACCGGCUAACUACGUGCCAGCCGCCGCCGUAA
rnacentral:rRNA from 1 species